GACGAGCGCUGGCGGCGUGCUUAACACAUGCAAGUCGAACGGUAAGGCCCUUCGGGGUACACGAGUGGCGAACGGGUGAGUAACACGUGGGUGAUCUGCCCUGCACUUCGGGAUAAGCCUGGGAAACUGGGUCUAAUACCGGAUAGGACCACUGCCUGCAUGGGUGGUGGUGGAAAGCUUUUGCGGUGUGGGAUGGGCCCGCGGCCUAUCGGCUUGUUGGUGGGGUGAUGGCCUACCAAGGCGACGACGGGUAGCCGGCCUGAGAGGGUGACCGGCCACACUGGGACUGAGAUACGGCCCAGACUCCUACGGGAGGCAGCAGUGGGGAAUAUUGCACAAUGGGCGCAAGCCUGAUGCAGCAACGCCGCGUGAGGGAUGACGGCCUUCGGGUUGUAAACCUCUUUCAGCACCGACGAAGCGCAAGUGACGGUAGGUGCAGAAGAAGGACCGGCCAACUACGUGCCAGCAGCCGCCGUAA
rnacentral:rRNA from 1 species